CCUCCACGACUACCGGUCACACUGGGACUGAGACACGGCCCAGACUCCUACGGGAGGCAGCAGUAAGGAAUAUUGGUCAAUGGAGGCAACUCUGAACCAGCCAUGCCGCGUGCAGGAAGAAUGCCCUCUGGGUUGUAAACUGCUUUUACCAGGGAAUAAACCCCACUACGUGUAGUGGGCUGAAUGUACCUGAGGAAUAAGGAUCGGCUAACUCCGUGCCAGCAGCCGCGGUAAUACGGAGGAUCCAAGCGUUAUCCGGAUUUAUUGGGUUUAAAGGGUGCGUAGGCGGCUUGUUAAGUCAGGGGUGAAAGACGGUGGCUCAACCAUCGCAGUGCCCUUGAUACUGGCGAGCUUGAAUGUACUUGAGGUAGGCGGAAUGUGACAAGUAGCGGGUCGACGCGGCCG
rnacentral:rRNA from 1 species